rnacentral:rRNA from 1 species
GACGAACGCUGGCGGCGUGCUUAACACAUGCAAGUCGAGCGGAAAGGCCCUUCGGGGUACUCGAGCGGCGAACGGGUGAGUAACACGUGAGUAACCUGCCCCAGACUUUGGGAUAACCCUCGGAAACGGGGGCUAAUACCGGAUACGACACAGCUUCGCAUGGGGUCUGUGUGGAAAGUUUUUCGGUUUGGGAUGGGCUCGCGGCCUAUCAGCUUGUUGGUGGGGUGAGGGCCUACCAAGGCGACGACGGGUAGCCGGCCUGAGAGGGCGACCGGCCACACUGGGACUGAGACACGGCCCAGACUCCUACGGGAGGCAGCAGUGGGGAAUAUUGCACAAUGGGCGGAAGCCUGAUGCAGCGACGCCGCGUGAGGGAUGACGGCCUUCGGGUUGUAAACCUCUUUCAGCAGGGACGAAGCGUAAGUGACGGUACCUGCAGAAGAAGCGCCGGCCAACUACGUG